CCCUAUUAUUUUUAUUGUGAAUUAUAAAGCCGGAGUAGUAAUAGUUAUGGUCUCUUGAAACUUAAAGGAUUUGGCGGUAUUAUAGUCUAUUUAGAGGAAUCUGUUAUGUAAUCGAUAAUCCACGUUGGACCUUACUUAUAUUAAAUUCUUGUAUAUCGCUGUUUAUGAAUAUACCAGAAGGUAUUUAUUUUUAAAAUAUUUAAGUUAUUAAGAUUUCAAGUCAAGGUGCAGUAAUUUAUGAGUUGAAUAAUGGAUUACAAUAAAGUUAUUUAAACGGAAAACUUAAGGAAGAAAAAACCAAAGGAGUUUAAAGGUGAAUUUAAUAGUAAUUUUUUGAAGAUUGGAAAAAUGAUUUAAGCUCUAUAAUAUGUACACA
rnacentral:rRNA from 1 species